rnacentral:tRNA from 1 species
GAGGGUGUGGCUCCGUGGCAAAGCAUCUGCUUGGCAUUCAGAAGGUCCCAGGAUCAAUUCCCAGCAGCUCUCG